UUUUUUUCUUUUUCUUUUUGUUUGGUUUUGGCAUCAGAGUGAUGCUGGCCUUUUAGAAUGAGUACAGAAACAUUCCUUUCUCUGCAGUAUUUUGGAAUAGUUCAAGAAGGAUGCACAUUGACUUUUCUCUAAAUGUUUGGUAGAAUUCACCUGUCAAGUCAUCUGGUCCUGGAUUUUUGUUUGGGGGGGUUAAUUACUGAUUUAAUUUCAUUGCUGAUAAUUAUUAGUCUGUCCAUAUUUCUAGCUAUUGCUGGUUCUUGGGCAACUAUACAUUGCUAGUAUUUGUUCAUUUCUUAGCAUAUAGGUUGUCCAUUUUAUUAGCAUAUAGUUGUUUACAGUAAUUACUUAUGGUCUUUUGUUUUCUGUAGUUUCAGCUAUAACUUCUUUUCAUUUCUGAUUUUGUUGAUCUGAUGAGUAUAGCUAAAGUUUUAUUUUGUUUAUCUUUUUAAAGAACCAUCUCUAAGUUUCAUUGAUCUUUUCUGUUGUUUUUUUAGUCUCUAUUUUAUUUAUAUCUGCUCUGAUCUUUGAUUUCUUUCCUUCUACUAACUUUGGGUUUCGUUUGUUCAUUUUUUAGUUCUUUUAGUUGUAAAGGCACAUUGUUUAUUUGAGACUUUUCUUGCUUCUUGAGGUAAGCUUAUACUGCUCUAAACUUCCUUGUAGAACUGCUUUUGCUGUGUCCCAUAGAUUUUUGGAUCUUUGUUUUCAUUUUCAUUUGUCUACAGGUAUUUUUUAAUUUCUUCGAUUUCUUCAGUGAUCCACUGAUUAGUAGCACAUCGUUUAGCCUCCAGGUGUUUGUGUUUUUUACAGUGAUUUUUCUUGUUUUUGAUUUCUAGUAUCAUGGCAUUGUGGUUGGAAAAGGUGCUUGGUUAUGAUUUCAGUUUUCUUUAAUUUACUAAGGCUUGUUAUGUGGCUUGGCAUGUGAUCUUUCCUGGAGAAUAUUGGACAUGGACUUGAAAAGAAUGUGUGCUCUGCUGCUUUUAGAUGGAAUGUUCUAUAUAUAUUAUUAAGUGCAUCUGGAGAAAUAUGUCUUUUAAGUCCUGUAUUUCCUUAUGAAUUUUGUCUAGAUGAUCUGUAUAUUGAUAUAAGUAUGUUACUGUCAGUUUUUCCCUUUAUGUCUGUUAACAUUUGUAUUUAGGUACUCCCGUGUUGGGUGAACACAUAUUUACAGUUGUUACAUAUUUUUCUUGGAUUGAUACCUUAUUAUGUAAUGACCUUCUUUGUCUCUUGUGACUGUCUUUGUUUUAAAGUCUCUUUUAGCUCAGAUAAGUCUUGCUACCACAGUUUUCUUUUGAUUUCAAUUUGUAUGGAAUAACUUUUUUCAUCCCCUCAUUUUCGGUCUGUGUGUGUCUUUAACUGAAGUGAGUCUCUUAUAGGCAGCAUAUAUACAGGUCUUGUUUCUGUUUCCAUUCAGCCACUCUUUGUCUUGUGUUUAGAACAUUUGGUCCAUUUACAUUUAAGAUAGUUUUUUUUUUUUUGGUUUUUUUUUUUUUUUUUUUUUGGGUUUUUUUUUUUUUCUAUUUCUUGGGCCGCUCCCACAGCGUAUGGAGGCUCCCAGGUGUGGCCCUAAAAAGAAAAAUUAAACAGAACUACAAAAACAACUGGGAAAUAAGGAAUAGGAUGGCAAAUAGUACAUACCUAUCGAUAACUAAAUGUCAGUGGACUAAAUAUUCUAAUCAAAAGACAUAGAUUUUUUAAAAAGACCCUUCAAUAUGCUGCCUACAAAAGACUCACUUCAGGGCAAAAGAUGCACAUAGACUGAAAGUUUAAGGAAGGAAAAAGAUAUUUCAUGCAAAUGGAAAUGACAGUAAAGCAGGGUAGCAAUAUUCAUAUAAGACAAAAGAGACUUUAAAACAAAGGCCAUAAUGAAAAAUAAGGGCAUUAUAUUAAAGAUAAAGUGAUUGAAACAAGAAGAGGAUAUUACGUUUGUUAACAUAUAUGCACCCAGUACAGGAGCACCUAAAUAUAUAAAGCAACUACUGGCCGACGUACAGGGAGAAACUGACAGUAACGCCCUACAGACAUUAAUGGAGAGAUGAUCCAGAGAGAAAGUAAGGAACAAAAGUCCUAAAUGACACAAUAGACUAGCUGGA
rnacentral:lncRNA from 1 species